rnacentral:miRNA from 1 species
UAAAUUUCACAAUAUUUUCUGG